AGAGUUUGAUCAUGGCUCAGAGCGAACGUUAGCGGCGGGCCUAACACAUGCAAGUCGAACGAGAACGCUCCUUCGGGAGUUAUUAAAGUGGCGCACGGGUGAGGAACGCGUAGGUAAUCUACCCUUUGGCGGGGGACAACAUUCCGAAAGGAAUGCUAAUACCGCGUAAGACCACACUCACCACGGUGAGAGCGGUUAAAGGUGCCUCAAAGCACCACCAGAGGAUGAGCCUGCGUCCCAUCAGCUUGUUGGUAAGGUAAUGGCUUACCAAGGCGAAGACGGGUAGCUGGUCUGAGAGGAUGAUCAGCCACACUGGCACUGGGACACGGGCCAGACUCCUACGGGAGGCAGCAGUGAGGAAUAUUGGGCAAUGGGCAAAAGCCUGACCCAGCCACGCCGCGUGUGUGAUGAAGGCCUUCGGGUCGUAAAGCACUGUGGGGAGAGACGAAAAAGCGCAUCAGGAAAUGGUUGCGCCUUGACGGUACCUCCUUAGCAAGCACCGGCUAACUCUGUGCCAGCAGCCGCGGUAAUACAGAGGGUGCGAACGUUGCUCGGAUUUACUGGGCGCAAAGCGCGUGUAGGCGGACUCGCAAGUCGGUUGUGAAAUCCCUGGGCUUAACCUAGGAACUGCAUCCCGAAACUGCUUGUCUUGAGUAAUGGAGAGGGUGGCGGAAUUCCCCGGUGUAGAGGUGAAAUUCGUAGAUAUCGGGAGGAACAUCAGU
rnacentral:rRNA from 1 species